rnacentral:tRNA from 1 species
GGAGUUGUGGCUCAAUGCUAGAGCACUUGCCUAGCAUGUGUGAGGUACUGGGUUCAAUUCUCAGCACUUUA